AGACGAGAGGGACGAGGAAGUGACUCUUUAUCAACAAGAGGAAGUAGAUUCAUCAUUUGUCUUUAAGACGGAAGAAGCAGAGAGACGAGAGACGGAGAGGAACCAUGGCUGAAUUCAGAGGGAUUCAAACCUCUUUGUUCCUGAUUCUGAUGCUUCAGUUUACAGAAGCAGCAACAGAACAACGUCUCACUGUCAGAGAUGGAGAUGAAGUCACUUUGCCUUGUAACAGUGUGACUGAGGACCAGAACAACUGUGACUCUACCGAGUGGUACUUCUAUCAUUCAGGAAACAGAUCAACAAAUUAUCUGGUUACAAAAGGGCAGAUUGAUGAUGAAGCCAAAGCUGAAUCAGACAGACUGAGUGUUUCACAGAACUGUUCUCUGGUUAUGAAGAAGGUCACACGUGGAGAUGUUGGUCUUUAUGUCUGCAGACAGGUCAGACCAGGAGGACAUGAAGAUGCUAAGGUUCAUCUGUCUGUUGUUUCCAUGACUGAAGAGACGAACAGAGACGAGGUGACGUUAAACUGCUCUGUGUGGACGUAUGAAGGAUGUAAACACACAGUGAAGUGGAUGAAUGGUGGUCAAGAUGUGGACAAAGACAAAGAAGUGAAGACAUCACCGUCUCUCUGCUCCGCCUCUCUGUCCUUCAUGACUUCUCACUUCUUUUACACAUCAAGCUUCACUUCAUUGAAGUGUGAAGUGACCGAUGGAGACAAAGUGAUGCAGUUUCCUCUCAGGAAUUCUCCCCCAUGUGAUAUAACAGGUGAACACACAACAACAACAACAACUGAAGAGGACACAAAAGCAGGCGGGUGGAGGCUCGUCUCUGUGUCCGUUGGAUUAGCAGCACUCAUAAUAAUACUUGUAGUCGUCAACAUGUGGAUUAGAAUUAAAGAGAGGAAAACACAGACGGAAGAAAACGCUGUGCGUUAUGAUGCAGAAGAUGACACAGUGAACUAUGAAAACAUGAGACCUGCUGGUGGAGUUUGAGCAACACGUCUGCAGAUCAGCUCCACCACCAUCUUCAUGGUGUCCCAGCUGCUGAUGUGGAGCCAGAUGUUGUCCUUCAUUGGGCUGCUGAGGUCCAAUAUUGAUCAAUCGUUCUCUGUCAUGUCACAGGUCAAACGUGUUGAGAAUUCAUAAGAAAAAGAAAAUAUUUGCUUCAUUUCUCUGAUUAUAUUUGUUUUGAAAGGGUUUAUUAUUUUAUUUUAGUCUGUUGUCUUUUGCUUUAUCAGCUGUAAAAAUGUUUCUGCAGCUGCUCACAACACAACAGCUGGAUUUUAACUUAACAGGAAACAUUAUUUAACUCUUAACUUCAUUAAGUUGUCUUUCAUUUGAUUAAGAGGUUUUCUGUUUGUUUAUUAAACUCUGGCAACUUGAGUUCAGUUUCAUUUCAAACAACUUUUAAUUUGCAUUUCUGUGAACAUAUUGUUGUCAUGUUCAUGUAUUUUAGUUUGUUGUUUUCAAUGAACAUUAAAAUCAGUCCAAUCCAAAAAUACAUUGUUUUUGUAAAUCAUGUAACCAUCUUCAAAUGGAUCUCUGUUAUUUUCAUAUUUCUCUUCAUCGUAUGAAUCUGAUCCAUGAAGCUGUGAAGCUCCGUGAUCCUCGUCUCUGUUCUCACAACUGGCUGAACGUGUGUCUCAAUGUGAACUUUCUCUCUGCUGUUUCCUCUCGUCUCUCUGAACUUCAGGUCAAAGGUCGGGCGUCCAAUGAGUGUCUCUGCUGUGACGCCUGACUGACGACUGACUCACAAGAAAACAGCUUGUAUCUUAUGCAAGAAAAGAGUCCUUGCAUACCAGUUAAUAAUGUGUUCUCUGUUGUGCUUUUUAUUCACAGUAUUGAUUGAUAUCCUCUGUCUCAAGAUUGAUCGCUUUUAGCUGAAAGUACAAAGCUUAACUGAUUUAAUUUAAAUUUUUAACAUUACCGCAACUCACACACAUUUAAUACACCGGCAACAUUUAUUGUCACACAAUUACAAAGAGCAAAAACAACAGUCCUCUGGAUUCAAUGGUCUGUAAGAUGGUUCUGUACGUUUGUUGGAGUUCAGGUAAAUCCUCCUCCAGAAAACAGUGAUUGGUACCAACUGUUCCUCUGAGAGCGAUAUGUAGACUCCCUCAUGUCCAGCAGGAGGCGCUAUGAUCACUGGGACUCCGUCCUGCCUCCCCGUCCCACGCCACGUCUGUAGCAGCAGCAGCUUUAACCCGUUAGCACCUAGCAUAUUAGCUUGUAGCCUGCUAGCUGCUGAUUUCAGACUGUCUUUCUCUGCACUCGCCUCCCUUCCUCGUUCUGAUUGGCUCCCUCCAUGUGAACACCUGAGCGGCCCAAAGGUCGCGAC
ensembl:lncRNA